rnacentral:rRNA from 1 species
UACGUAGGGUGCGAGCGUUGUCCGGAUUUAUUGGGCGUAAAGAGCUCGUAGGCGGUUUGUCGCGUCUGCUGUGAAAUCCCGAGGCUCAACCUCGGGUCUGCAGUCGAUACGAGUAAACUAGAGUGUUGCAGGGGAGACUGGAAUUCCUGGUGUAGCGGUGAAAUGCGCAGAUAUCAGGAGGAACACCGGUGGCGAAGGCGGGUCUCUGGGCAACAACUGACGCUGAGGAGCGAAAGCGUGGGGAGCGAACAGG